rnacentral:snRNA from 1 species
UUGCUUUGGCAGCACGUGUAUUAAAAGUGGAAUAAUACAGAGAUGAUUAGCAUGGCCCCUUAUGCAAGGAUGACAUGCAAAUUUGUGGAGUGUUCCAUAUUUAA